rnacentral:rRNA from 1 species
UGGGGAAUAUUGGACAAUGGGCGCAAGCCUGAUCCAGCCAUGCCGCGUGAGUGAUGAAGGCCCUAGGGUUGUAAAGCUCUUUCACCGGUGAAGAUAAUGACGGUAACCGGAGAAGAAGCCCCGGCUAACUUCGUGCCAGCAGCCGCGGUAAUACGUAGGUGGCGAGCGUUAUCCGGAUUUACUGGGUGUAAAGGGCGUGCAGGCGGGCUGAUAAGUCAGAUGUGAAAUCCCCGAGCUUAACUCGGGAACUGCAUCUGAUACUGUUGGUCUUGAGUGCUGGAGAGGAUAGUGGAAUUCCUAGUGUAGCGGUAAAAUGCGCAGAUAUUAGGAGGAACACCAGUGGCGAAGGCGGCUAUCUGGACAGUAACUGACGCUGAGGCGCGAAAGCGUGGGUAGCAAACAGG